rnacentral:rRNA from 1 species
GACGAACGCUGGCGGCGUGCUUAACACAUGCAAGUCGAACGGAAAGGCCCUGCUUUUGUGGGUGCUCGAGUGGCGAACGGGUGAGUAACACGUGAGUAACCUGCCCUUGACUUUGGGAUAACUUCAGGAAACUGGGGCUAAUACCGGAUAGGAGCUCCUGCUGCAUGGUGGGGGUUGGAAAGUUUCGGCGGCUGGGGAUGGACUCGCGGCUUAUCAGCUUGUUGGUGGGGUAGUGGCUUACCAAGGCUUUGACGGGUAGCCGGCCUGAGAGGGUGACCGGCCACAUUGGGACUGAGAUACGGCCCAGACUCCUACGGGAGGCAGCAGUGGGGAAUAUUGCACAAUGGGCGGAAGCCUGAUGCAGCAACGCCGCGUGCGGGAUGACGGCCUUCGGGUUGUAAACCGCUUUCGCCUGUGACGAAGCGUGAGUGACGGUAAUGGGUAAAGAAGCACCGGCUAACUACGUG